rfam:Ictidomys tridecemlineatus contig010834, whole genome shotgun sequence.
GGGGUUGUGGCUCAGUGGUAGAGUGCUUGCCUUCCACGUGUGAGGCACUGGGUUCAAUCCUCAGCACCA